UGGCCCACAUGGUCACCAGAGCUGGCAGGGAGGGGCUUCAUUAGGCUUUGGCUCGGCUCCAUCUUGGGCUUGGGGCUGGGGGUAGAGUUCUGCCAUCCAGAUGUGAGGAAAAGGCAGGGGUGUGGCAGGGUGAUUACUGGGAUGAGGACACCUGGUUCUAGCCGUGGCUGUGCUGGCCUUCAUUCAUUCAUUCAUUCAGCUCACACAUUCAUCAGCCAGAAACUGGGCCCUAGGAAAGGUGAAAAGACCUAGUCCUUGGAGGAGACCAGAGAUUCAUCCGGAAAUGAUGGUGAUGAUGGUCAUGAUGAUGACUGCAACGACAGUGACAACCGUAAUAGGACAGCGCAGUAAACAACUGCUGUGUUCCAGACUCAUGCCCUGCACUUCCUGUUUCAUUACCUCAGUGAAGCUCAGCAGCAGUCUUGUGGGUGUCUCCUCCUCUUAUUCCUAUUUUCCACCUUAGGAAACUGAGGCAUAGAGAGGUGAAGCCCUGAACUGACAAAGCUGGCAAGAGGCGGAGCUGGGAUUUGAACCCAGGUCCAGGUCAACUCCAAGAUUCAUGUUUUCUCUCCUACAUUGAUCCCAAACUUGGCCACUCAUCAGAGUCACUUGGAGGGCUUUUGGACAAUAUACUGAGGCCUGAUUUUUUAAAUUUCUUUUUAUUCCCUGAAUCAGAAUCUCUGUAUUGUGGAGGGCAGAGUUGGGAGCCAUGUGUGGGGACCCGAUACUGUACCCUCCCCUCCAGCCCCAGCUCCUGCCUCUCCCCAUUGGUUUACUUGCUAUUCUCCGAGAAAAGCCCAGCUGGUUCCCCCCUUGGGACUUUGCACUCACCCUUCCGGAAUAUUCUGCCCCCAGCCCAUCUUGUCACUUGCUCUUGCCGCGCUCUUCUGUCCUGUCCCUUCAUUGAAAGUCACCUCCUGAAGGAGAACUUCCUUGACCAUCCCGUCCCCUCCUUCCCCACCUGUCACUCUCUGUCCCAGGGGUUUUCUCCAAGAACCACACAUGACUGUCAUCUGGGGAGCUUUUAAAAUUGCCAAUGCCCAGAGACCGAUUCUCUUGGUCUGGGGUGAGUCCUGGGCAUCAGUGUUUCAGCAUCCUGGGAGGUGGAUCUGUGUUCCAUCUCACCCUGCUCUGUUUGGUUCACACCUCUCCCCCUGAAAUUAUAGAGCACAGCAGGGGUUUGCCUGUCUCGUGCACUGCCAUGUUCCCAGCACCUUGAAAGUGCCUGGCACACAGUCGGAGCUCAGUAAGUACCUGUCGAAGGAAUGAAGGACUAAACAGAGGCUUGAGAAAGGCUGCUUGCCCAUCGGGAUAAAUCUAUGCCCUGCCCUCUGAGGAGCCGAGGGACAGUACUUACGAUGGGAGAAAAAACCCUGAUCAGCCAAUCCCCCACCCCCAUGCUGCCUGGAAAAUCCCACUCCAGCUGCAGGGCCAGCUGAGAGCUGAGACAGUGGGUGGGAUGGCAGGAAUCUUUGUAGCCUCUGUGAGAUGUCAGGUUGCACAUUGGCAGACAGGCCAGAGAGUCAGAGCUGGGAGGGUGCCGAGUGGGCAUCAAGGCUGAGCUCCCAUUGUACAGGUGGGCACCAAGUCCCAGUGAGGGAAGGAGCCUUGGCUGAGGUUGAAAAGGGUCUACAACGUAGGCACUGUGUUAGGGAAAAGGACUGCUUCCAGGCCUAGCAUGCUGUGUGACCUCAGUCAAGCCUCUGACUUCUCUGGGCUUCAGUCUCUUGGUCUGUACCUUGAAUCCCAAGCCCUGACUCUGGAAGUUUCUGUGAGUGCUUUCCUGGGGCAGCCAAGACCCACAGAGAGCCUGCAAGGGGUUAAGCUCCUCCAGCUCUCACUCUCUGCACUCAGACAAGCCCCCUCCUUCUGACAAACACUUGUAGGAAAUCAGGCUGAGCGCUUCCUGCCGCAGCUGAGAGUCAGGGGCGGGGAGAAGUGGGGAGCGAUGCUUGUCUGUGAGCAGCAGCUUGGGCUGGCAGAGCGGCCUGGAGGUGGGCCAGGGCACAAUGGAGGCAGGGGGCUCCCCAGGUUUGGAACAAAGACUUCACACGUGGGUCCUCUGAGCCGGCAGGACAGUGGUGGAGCCUGAGAGAGGCCACAGGCAGGAUGGCCCAUGCGAGAGGAGCCACCUGUGACCCGGGUGCCCGUGGCAGCAGCUCCGUCUCCUGAGGAUGAAGUGGCCGAGGUGAAGCGCAGGCCAGGCCUGAUGGCCAGCUCGGGAACUGAGGCCAACUGGGCCGGGCCAGGCCUGGGGCAGGGGCCCCGGCGGCGGCGCUGGGCCUGGGCCGAGGAGAAGGAUGGUGGUGGGAGUUGCACCCGCAGCUGGGGAGAAGAGGGGCCCAUUCCCGAUGCCACCAGCCCUGAGCUCCUGGAGGACUUCCGCCCGGCUGAGCAGCACCAACUGCUGCUGGAGUGGGACCCGCAGCCUGACGGGCACCAGGAUUCCGAGUCUGGAGAAUCUGCGGGAGAGGAUAUUGAAGGAGAAGAGGUAGACAGCCCAGAAAGUUCCAACUUGCCUCUCAGCUGGUUUCCCCAGUGGGAUCAUCAACUGAACAUGACUGAAGAGGAGCCUGAUGAAGCCCUUAGAAAUCCCCAGGAGAUUGAGGAAGCUGGAGAAGGUUCCCCAAGAUUGGGGUACAAGGCUGGACUCUGCUUGACGGACAAGGGAAGCACCAGCCCCAAGGCUCUGGGACAGGGGGAAGACAGAGGCUGGCUGGUUGCUGGCGAUAAAGCCAGUAGAGACGAGUUUUCAGAACAUUCUGAGGUCAGCCCAUCUGUUGACCUCCACUCUGCAGGGUCCUGGAGCAGUGGGACCAUGAGCCUCAGGCAUCCCUGUGACAGCCUCACUUCCACCUGGGAAGGAGAGACUGAUGGCCCCCAGCCCACUCCUUUGGUAGAAACUUUACCACAGGACCCCAGCGGCCACCUCCUAGAUCCAGAUGACAGAACUGGAGGAAAUGUUGCUCAGGCAACCCCCACAGAGUUCCAUGACUCCUCAGCACCCCCACCCCAAAGCCUGUGUCCAGGAGAUGGAUGGAGACAGACUUCCAGCCUCUCCUGCUCUCAGUCCCUGGCCUGGAAGCGGACAAGGAUAUCCACUAAGGCGCUCCCUUCCCGAUUCACCGGCUCCAUUAGCUCCCUGAGUCCUCAGCCUAGGCCAGCCCAGCAGGACAGGCCACCCAGGCUGCCCAGGCAGGGAGCCACUCUGGCUGGCCGCUCUUCUGAUGCCGCCAAGUACGGCCGGGGACAGCUGAACUACCCACUCCCUGAUUUCUCCAAGGUGGGACCCCGGGUGAGGUUCCCCAAAGAUGAGAAAUACCAACCUCCCAAGGCCAGAAGCCAUGGCAGGCAGCGUGAGGGUCCGGCCAGGCCCCUGAUCUUCAAGUCGCCUGCAGAGAUUGUGCGAGAGGUACUGCUCAGCAGUGGAGAAACCUGCCCGGCAAAGGACCCACCUCCUGCUCACCCCAUCACCAGGAUACCCCAAGAAUUCCAGACGCCUGAGCAAGCCACUGAGCUGGUCCAUCAGCUCCAGGAGGACUACCACAAGCUCCUCACCAAGUACGCCGAGGCUGAGAACACCAUCGACCAGCUGCGUCUUGGCGCCAAGGUGAACCUGUACUCGGACCCGCCCCGGCCCAGCCACAGCCUCCACAUGGGGACGGUGCCCCAGGGGACCAAGGUCUUGUCCUUCACCAUCCCACAGGCCCGCACAGCAGAGUGGCAGCCAGGUCCCACCGGGGCCCCGCAGGCCUCUGAGGCUGCAGGGUGGCAGCUGGCUCGAGGAGACCUGAGCCCCUCCUCGCCCACUGACACCUCCACCCCAGCCCGGCUUCCGAAAGAGCAGGGUAUCACCGAAGACCAGCCCUCAGUGGAGCAGACCCAGGCCCUGGCUUCUCAGGCCAGCCAGUUCCUGACCAAGGUGAAGUGCUUUGAAGAGCUGGUGCAGGCGGGAUGGCUCAUACCCCAGGACCAGCUCAAGGGCUUCCGGCAGCUGAAGGCGGCCCACACAGCGCUGGAGGAGCAGUACCUGGAGGCCUGCAGGAAGCAGCAGCACCUGGAGCAGCAGCUCGCUGGCUCCCAGGGGCCACCUGGGAGAUUUGAUCCUGACAGGGAGCUGGAGGCUGAGAUAUUCCAGCUGGGAAUUCGCCUGGAAGAGCUGAAGGACCACAUGGAACAGAGCCAGCUGGAGUCUGAGCGACCCGGGUCAGACUCAGCUCUGGACAGCCCCCCAGCCACACCCACCCCCUGCAAGCCAACCUGUCCGCCCUCCCCUUCCACACCAGCGAUUCAGACGCCCUACCCCGAGCCUGACGACCCCAGGACUCGCCCCUGCCCUUUGCAUGUGGACGUGGACCUGAGCUAUUCCAGCAGCAAGGUGGAGGACAGGCCACGGGACCUCCUGGCCCCACUCAGGCACAAGGAGUUGCAGGUGGAGCAAGACUUUCAUGGCCUCCUGGAGCGAUACCUCAGCGUGAAGUCCCUUCCGGAAGCCAUGAGUGCGGAGGAGGAGGAAGAGCAGGGAUGCACCCUGGAAGUUGAUGGUCUGGCUCCAGUUCCAGGAAGAGCACAGGCCACCAGGCUCCCCCCACAGCAGCUCCCAGGGGAGACUGCGGAGCGGAUGGUGUCUAUGAAGCCGCCGGGCUCCCAGACAUCCGUGGACAGAGACGGGCACCCUCCGGGCCUGGGCAAGGCCAAAGCAGCUCCUCCCGGCCCUGGCACACUGCCCUGCCCUCGGACCACCAAGUCCGCACCGUCCCACCGGAGCAGUAUGACCAACCUGGUGGAAAGUGACGUCUCGGAACGCCUUCCCCAGAAGUCCUUCCACCAAGCUGGCGGGCCCCACCUGGAGGAGCCCUGGAUGGCAUCUCCGGAGACAGACAGUGGCUUUGUGGGCUCAGAAACCAGCAGAGUGUCGCCCCUCACUCAGACCCCGGAGCACCGGCUCUCCCACGUCAGCACCCCAGGGACAUCAGCCCAGCCCUUCACUGCAUCUGUGCCCCAGGAUGGAGCCUCCCACCUCCAGGCCAGGGGUCCUCCAGUCCCCAGAACAGCUGCUGAGCACAGCACACCCAGGAGCCGAGCCCAGAGGCACCUCCCCGGCCCGGGCAGUCCUCUCCGGCAGAAGGCACCCAGCUUCUGCAUGGAGCAGGUGUUGGCAGCAGAGAUGGCUGUCCCUGGCUUGGAGCUCGAGGGGCGAAAGAGGAUUUCGGAGCAGCUCCUACCCAGCAGGGCAAUCAGCCCAACCCCCGUGCCAACCCCUGAGGCUGCCCCCCUGACCGAUGGGCCGACAGAAGCCAUCCCCAGCCUCCUCCUCAGCAGGACAGGGCGAGACCGGGCCAUCCGCGAGCUGCGAGAGGAGGUGUCCCGGCUCCGGCUGCGUCUGGAGGACAGCCUGCACCAGCCAGCCCAGGGCAGCCCCAAGCGCCCGGCGUCCACCUUCACACGCCCCGCCCGGGCCCGGGCCCGGCCAGCGGAUUCCUCAGCUGCCUGGGGCUCCCACUAUGGCAGUAAAUCCACAGAGAGAUUGUCUGGAGAGCCUGGAGGCACAGAGCAAGCUGUCCCUGCAGGAAGGCGGCGAGCCAGGUCCUCCUCAGUGCCUCGGGAGGUGCCCCGACUGUCCCUGACCUCCGAAUCUGAGCCGACCUCGCCCCAGCUCUCGUCUGACAAGAACAGGGCCGCCAAACAGAGCCCUCCGGCAGCCCAGGAUGGAAUGAGGGGAGGGGGCAGCUCCAGACGGCGAGACAGGGUCAUCUUCCAGGGCCACUACACAGGCCAGGAAUACCAUCUUCUGUCCCCGAAGAGUGUCCCGAGAGGCGGUGGCACGGUUUCCUGUCCCCACUGCCGGCCCUCUAGGACCCAGGGCGCAGGUGGUGCCACCACCAGGGACCCACAAGGAUCAUCUCCAGCUGAUCCCCUGCGAUGUCCCAUGUGUCAUCGGGUUGGGCCCCACCCAGAGGCAGAUGGCCCAAACUCUGCUGCCACUAGCACUGAAAAGGCCUCAAGAAAAAACGCACCUUCACAUUCCAGCCCCAAGCAGAGGCGCAAGCAGCUGGAGUCACCACCUCGGCUGCCCCCUGGGCUGUGGUACCUGGCAGCCGCACCCCCAGCGCCAGCUUCUCCAGCCUUUGCCUACGUCCCCUCGGUUCCCAUUGUGCCUUAUCCACCAGCCACUGUGUACUACGCACCCCCAGGAUCUACCUCAGCCCCCGCAGCCCAAGCCGCUGCAGAGUGGCCACCCACAGCCUCCUCCCGGCCACCCGCCCAGCUCCCCCUGGAUGACCUGGAGGAGCUCAGUGAGGCCCUGAGCCGCGCCGUGAGGGCCGCCAGGAGCGUCCGCGCCACCACCAGGCACAUGAGCCGCUCCCUGCUGGCCGCCCUGCACCAGGCCCGCAGCCCGCGGGGCUCCUGCCUCUUCUGACCCCCUCACGGCUCAGAGAUGGGUGGGCGGGAGGAGGGCCGGGCAGCCGGAAGCCCUAAGGAGCCCAGAGACCCCCCCCCCAGCAGGAGGUGACCCCCCAGCACAGGCCCCGCCUGCUCAGUCUGGGUUUUUCAAGGGAGGGGGCAUCAUGGGUCAUCCAGAGAGUAACUUCUUGGGGGACCAGCCUCCUGAAGGCAGGGAGGGGACUGAGGCCCCUUCUGUGCAGGCCAAGACUCUGGGAGGGUUUUCUCUUCCUGCACUUGUCCGCUCCGGCUAAUAAGAUGUAAUUUAUGUGUGAAUGGACACAUGGUUUUAUAAACUGAGGCUUAUUUCUGGUCUUGGAGACAGCUCAGGGGGAUGGAAAAGAAGGGAAAGGGCCAGAGUCUGUGGUGCAGACCUGUCUCCCUUCUUUAACCAGCAUAACUCGGGACUAAGCUACUCUGUCUUUGCUCCUGGUGGGAGGGGGUACCUGGGGCCCCGGGUGGACAUGCACCCAGCUUGCCCAGGGUCGGAGAGGCUGUUCCCACAGGCCCACUGGGAUGGAGACACCCAUGGAGGGCCCCAGGAAGCUGUGCCACCACGGCCUUCCCAGCCUGCACCCCGAGGCCCCAGCUCUCUCCCUGGAUCCCUGUGGCAUUUGGUGAUUGGCGCUACCUGCCAGGCCCUGGUUUGGCCCCAGAUUGGGACCCAGUCUGUGGCCUGGAGGCCAGGCCACCUCCUGCUCCCCACCCAGGCAGUGCUUACCUCAGCAUUUCAGGAAUAUGUGUGCAUAAAUGAUGUUUGUAUAUUUGAGGCAUUUAAAAAUCUAUUUUCGUUACGAGGGCAAAUGAAGACUGUUGACCUGAAAAAAGAAAAAACAUUCCCAAAUCCUGCUGCCUCUGUGGUGUGUGUCAUCGACUUGUGAUUUCAAAAUUCAGUGGCUUCUGCUUCUCCAACUUUCCCCCUCUGCGGAUCUCAGAAUCAUAAACCAGCGUAUUGGAGGGGCCUGCAAUAGAGGCCACCUGGCUGAGCCCCUUUUACGUGAGCCACUUUUUACCGAGGCCAGAGAUCUUUCGAGAUUCAAGGUCAGUUGGUGUCAGCAAAAGCACAAACAGGACCAUCUUUCUAGAGCUCUUUCAGCUUGCAGAAAAUGAUAAAAGCUGCCAUUCAGUCUCAGUUUUUGGGCACCUGAGCACUCCUGCUCCCACAGAAGACAAUGGGCCGUGAAUCAGGUGCCCUCUGGGCCUGGGAGGAGGCCUGUCCAGCUUUGCUGGGCUGCUGGCCUCAGGUGUCAGCUCUGCACAGGCCUCAAAUUGAGCCUCAGACAUGGCCCCAUCUCCACUCACCUGUGCAAGGUGAUGGCUGGUUCUCGGGUCCUUGCUCCUAGAUGUCACCUCCUGCUCUGGGUCUCCAGGGGAGCACCCUGAGGACCCUUCUGUGGAGUCACCCAGCACCUCCAGCUUAUACUCUUGAGAACUUGCCCCAGGCCAGCCCACAGCCUCUUGCCAGGAUGGACACAGCAGCCUCUGCACACGUGUUUCUACCUCUGCUCCAGCCCCCCCCAAACCCUCUGCCCCAGACUGCCAAAGCCAUAUGUCUAAAAUAAAGCCCAUCCUGCUUGGG